rnacentral:ncRNA from 1 species
GAAUAAUCAUUGGUUUGAUUUUUUUCGUAUAAACCUGCCUGGCUGUGAGACCGACUGGUCGAACAGAGACGAAAGUGGUCAUAGUGAUCCGAGGGUCCCGUAUGGAAGGGCUCUCGCUCAAC